UCAUUGUUUGUGUUCUACUGAAGAAACAAAGUCACCUACAUCUUGGAUGCGCUGGGGAACUACAGAACAAAUGAUUCAAGCCACACUGUCUGACCUAAAUACAUCAGCCUGUGGCAAACUUCAUCAAAUGGCUAAACAAAAGAUCAGCUUUCUCUGCGGCAGGCUUUGUGCAUGCUUGGUAAACAAGUACUGAUCUGCAGCUUUGCAUGACAGUAAAGGGGCAGAGAUCCAGUUUCCACCAACAGUUGUUUGGUUAGAGUGGCUGGUUUACAGCUUCUGCCUGGAAAGGACUCUCCAAGGACUGGGUGGACCGCUGAGCAGCACCCGGAUGGACGUGUGGGGAUGCGGCAUCUUCCGUGCAUGUAUUAGACUAAUAAAUGUAAUAAAAGGCUCCUGCACAACUAAUUCAAGCACUUUGGGGAAGCAAGACCCUCUUAUGUAACACACACAUUUGCAUUGACUGCUUGUAAUUAUACUGUUUGUCAAAAUGUGUUUUGUUUUUAUGCCAUUUCUUUUGCCAGGCUUGUAAUUUUGCAAGUGCUAUUUUGCUUUUUAGGAGAUCAGUAAUCAUGUCAACCAGUUGCACGCAACUAGAAUUUAAUAUUUUCUAAAGACAACAUGAGUGAUGCCUGUCCAGACAAAACCUGCUGCCACAAGUUGUUCUGGCCAUUUGCUAAGGGGUUUUGAGUGGCCACUCCAACGUCUCUAUCGUAUAUCUCUAUCAUACAUCUCUAUGGGAUUUUCUUUCACCAGGUUCAUCCACCAGGAAAAAAUUGUAAGUCUGAUUGCUUAGGGGGAAAAAAAAGGCUCACCUCUCUACUCAAGAAGCUGCACAAUAUAGGGCAUCAUUCAGGACUCAACAGUAAG